GUGCUCACUUUGACAGCACAUAUACUAUAAUUGGAACAAUACAGAGAAAAUUAGCAUGGCCCCUGCGCAAGGAUGACACGCAAAUUCAUGAAGCAUUCCAUAUUUUU
rnacentral:snRNA from 1 species